ensembl:lncRNA
GUAUUAUUUACGUAGUCUUCUAAGGAUUUCCGUAAAACUCCCCGGUCAUGAUUAUCCAGGCCAUUCAUCCACCGCCUGCCCCCCUCGUUAAGCACAUCUGGAGUCUGACAAUCUGAUUGGCUGGUGUCUGCAGCCCGCGGGACAAGCCUCGGCUAAGCUGCCUUUAUAGGUCAGUCAGCCAACCCUGGGGCCGUCAUACCGCUGAAGGAUUUGAACUGGCACACUAAGAUGUACAGUCGUCUCUCUCUUUUAGACAUAUUCAUAUCUUCACAUACUGACUUGGCUGUGGUGUACUUGAACCCAAGUGACGGUGAAAACUGGCUUCAGAGUACCACGAUGGUUUUAUCAAGCAUAGUGGAAAAAAAUGCAUUUAAUUAUUUAAAUAAGGAGAAGAAAUCCAGCAUGGACGUUUUUUAUUGCACCAACCUUUUACGUAACAUUACUCGGUUCACAGCACAUGGCCUUCUAGGCAUUUCUCUGCAUAUGUCCUCCGUCUGCAGGCUGCCACACAGACUUUUAACUCUGGUUGUAGUCAUGCACCAGAGGUCAGCUUGUUCCAGUGUACCUCGGGCGGCUUCAUCCACUGCUCCCCAGCACGUCCGGUAUGAGUAGGCCAGCCGUGCAGCGCCUUGCCCGGCUGCUGGUCGGAGCUGGUCCACAGGCAUCUGGCUCUCUGCUGGUUCUGGUUGUUGUGGUACAGACCUACAGUGGAUGCUUGGCCUCUCAGGAAUCCAGCCGUCUCUGGGACCUUGUUGUUAUGCUUGUGAAUAGGGGGCUGGAACUGGUGGGGUAGUGGCGAAGCCGGACAAUCUGUGAGCCACCGUGUAGGACACUUUGGAACCGAAGGGAAAUCUGUCCAGACGGGAGAGAAGAAUCGCUGCUCACUUUCUUGGGAAACUUUUCAGCACUGAAGACUAGGAUGGCCAGUUGUGGGUCGUGUUUCUGGAGCAUUAUGUGGCUGGUGAUCCUGCUGAUAAUCGGCUGGCCCAUCAGCAUCACCCUGGGCGGUCUCUACGGCCUGUUCAGCCCCCUCACCACCUGCGUGGGCCUGGACCGGCUGUCCGACUUGCUCCUGGAGGGGGCCAACGUGGGCCGGAGAUGUGCCCAGAACAUGAGACACGGCAAGCCCCUGUGUUGAGGACAACCAGUCUCCCUCGGUCCUGGAGCCCACAAAAAUGAUUUGUCCGUUUUUUUGUGAACAUGUUCAGUAAUGGAUUUUGUAGAUUUUCUAAUCUUUCUUUUCUGUUCUUUUUUUUUUUUUUUUACAAAAUGUCCAGAAGGUCUCCAUGAAGUGGAGUACUAUUGUCUAUCAUGAACCAUGGAUAUCGAAUUUGUUUUGGGGUUGUCUGGAAUCAAAUAGACUGUGUUUUGCUAUUCAAGUCAGGAUGACACUGCCUCAGAAAGAUAAGAAAUGGAAAUGGCGGUUUAACAAUCAAAAUGCUUAGAGUCGUAAAAAAUACUUAUAAUGCGAUUAAAACGCUGCUUUGAACUUGUCCUCGUUUUGUUUGCAGAGUCAUUGUUCUGCUUUGACACGCGGCUGUGAAUGUUUUUUUCCGUCAGGUUUCAUUACAAAGGUGGAAAAACAUGAAAGCCCCCCGAUAAAAAACGACAAAAUGUGGGAACCGCUGACGGGGAGGAAUAGCAACAUUGAAACAUUGAUGAAUAGCUUGGGGGUUGAAUGAAUGAGUGGGUUGAAAUCAAAUUAAAUUCAUUCCUUUCUGUUGUUAGAUCAUAUGGCAAUCUUUCCGAUACCGUAAUAUAAAUGUGAAAAAAAUAUAUCUUUUUUGUUUUGAUACUAUGCUAAAUCUCAGAGGAAUGUUUGAUGACUUUAUGGCUUUCUGAGCUAGCAUGACUCAGCCUGUUGGUCUGUUAUCUACCAUGCCCUUGAAAUCCCUACAGUGGAUAAAUAUUACAGCUUAACUUUUGUGUACCAAAUAGUAAUAGCGUGACCUUUAUUUUUUCACACCUAUGCACAUCAAGAUUGUAAGUAGCAGCAGG